UCUUAUGGAGCAGCAAAGAGAGUGGUUUCUUGUGAUGGAAUCUACCUCUGGUGAAGAUGCUGUGAA
rnacentral:pre_miRNA from 1 species